UACGUAGGUGGCGAGCGUUGUCCGGAUUUACUGGGCGUAAAGAGCGCGCAGGCGGUCGUACAAGUCGCGUGUGAAAGCCCCCGGCUCAACUGGGGAGGGUCACGCGAUACUGUUCGACUCGAAGGCAGGAGAGGGAAGUGGAAUUCCGGGUGUAGUGGUGAAAUGCGUAGAGAUCCGGAGGAACCCCAGAGGCGAAGGCGGCGUCCUGGCUCGCAUCUGACGCUCAGACACGACAGCAUGGGGAGCGAACGGG
rnacentral:rRNA from 1 species